AGAAAUACCCUCCCACCACUGCUCUAACACACUCGAGCUCACUCUCUCGUCCCCCUCUCACCCGCCCCUUCUCACUCCCCUCCAGAUCCCCGCCGUCGCCGGCCUCUCCUCGACUCCCUUUCUCUCCACCACCACGCACCCCGUACCGUAGGUCAAAAGCUUGAUUUUUUAGGCGCCGGCGACGAGCUUCUGGGCGACGGAGGCUGGAUCCGCGUGCGUCCACGCCGGCUUCGUAGCGGCGCUUGAUGUGGAGCGGCACUGGAGCAGCGGAGCGGGGCUUUCUUCCUCACCUCACAGCGCCGUCCUCCUCCACGACCACGCAGCCGCAGCGGCGGAGGAGCCGAAUCCCUAGCCAGCGAGCUCAGGGAGCCAUGGGUCCAUGGGGCGACGCCAUGGAAGGGCCACCAACUACAGCAGCGAGGAGAGGAGAAAGGGAGUAGCCUGACGGUCGUCUUCCACCUCCGCCUACGCCCCCGCCGGAAAUAGUACAAUGGCCAAGGAAAUAGGCAGGAGGCGCCGCUUCCCGGAUGGAUAUGGACAUGCUUCUCCAACUCUGCUUCUUCCUGGGUCGCCAUGGAAGAAAGCAGUAAGAAUCUAAGAAAGCUGAAGCCUUCCAGCACACUGCAGCAAUAAGAAGAGCGCAAGUCGAACAAGGACACAGCUCACACACUACGGUGGACAGAAAGUACUGUAAUAUGCAGGUAACUACGUUGCUGAAACAGUUGAUGAUGGCAAACCUAGGGCAUGAUGGGCACCGUUGAACAUAACAAAGGUGGAUCUCCGUCCUUUGCAGCAACAGGAUCUCCGUCCUUUGCAGCAACAGCCGUCGCCUCGCAACAGCCGUCGAGCGAAGGUUGUGGUUCGGACGCCGAGGUUGCGGUGCAGUUGUGCUGAUCGCACAGCUGGCCUCGCAUGUGAACAACGAUGUGGACUGACGGCGACUGAAGUGCCGUUUCUCUUCUCGGCGCAUGCGCGGGUCGGGUCGUUGGAGCUCGUACGCGAGGAAGAACUGGCGUUUCUGUCCUUGGUGGCGACGUGCGUUGGCGGGUCGAUGGGUCGAUGGAGCUCAUUCGAUGGUUUGAUUUUUGGUCGAUGGACCUCGUUCGUGGGUUGCCGAACUGUUUUGCUGUUGGCUGGGCGUGUGAUCGUGGGGUUUGGUUCGUUUGACUGGUGGUCCAUGGGCCGAAUAUCGGAUGAGUUGCCCUUGGUUUUUUGGGCUUGCGGGUUGGAUUUUGUGCGGGCGUGUGGGACACCGCGCAAUGGCUUUCGUACGAGGCGGGGGGAUCGAACGAGGUGGUCGAACCAUCACGACGUUCGAUCCCCCUUUAAUAGUAGAGAUAUGAGGAAUCCACAAAGCAAGUCAACGGAACAGACAACAGCGGCGGAUGUACCUCCAGGUAUAUGUUCAGCUAUAAAUUUUGCUAUGCAUGUCAAACAGAUGUGUUGCAGGCCCGAUGGAGGGGACAAGUUGACGACUAUAACCCGUAUACUAUGCUUGUAGCUGAUGAUGUUGAUGAGAUUUACCCAAGUGGAUAUCAUAAUUUGUUGCUUUCUGUGUGAUCAAUCAGCCCUAACAGACUUAGUCCAGACCAAUUCUAACAGAUCAAGCGUGUGACUUGUAGGAGUCCAUACUACUUUGUCGGAAUGGAGAUCCUUGAACAGACCGAUGGUGAUAGCACAUAUGAUGCUCCAGGUAUAUAUGUACCUCCAUGUAUAUGUUCAGCUAUAAAUGUUGCUAUGCAUGUCAAACACCAUCCCAGGAGACUAAAUGUGUUGCAGGCCCGAUGGAGGGGACAAAUGUUGCCGACGAUGUUGACAAUAUAUACCCAAGUGGUCCAGGGGUCUCCGUUGGAACGGAUGAUACUUGAACAGCCCGAUGGUGUUAACACAUGUGUUCAUCAACCUUCUCAUCUCAUGAUGCCUUAUUCUGUCUAAUUUUUCAUUUUAUUUUACAUGAUGCAGACAACCGUACAAGUUCAUUCCUAUAUAAUGAAGCUUCGUUGCCGGCUCCGAGUAAUCUGACACAGGAUUAUGGGACAGAUGUAGCACAAAGUGCAAAUGUUGCUGUACAUGCUCAUGGUCGUGAUGCCUUAGAGGUUUUACCUCUGUCGGAUGCAACAUCCGAACACAUAACAACAGGAUCUGUCAUGAAAAAAACAUAACAGACGGAAAGAGGGAGCAGAAAAACGCCUGGAGGCGAGCUGCUUAUCGGAAGAAUAAAUAGAAUGGUGCGGUCAAGCUCCAAGCUGAAAAUCAUCCUGCCCUUACAAUGACUGAACUAUCUAGCAUCCAACUUAAUAAUGAGGAAAAGAGGGAGCAGAUAAAAGCUCGAAGGCGGGCCGCUUAUCGGAAGAAAGAUGAUGAGAGUUCCAUAAAGCUAAAUACAGAUGUGCAGAAUGUUGCACGGCAUCCUCUCGGUGAUAUCACUAAUGCGUAUCAACCAUCCUCUAUGGACGUUGACGAAAGAAAGGAGCUGAUAAAGGCGCGGAGGCGAGCUGCUUAUCGAAAGAGAAAAGAGGAGGCUACCGUCAAACAACAGAAUGAGAAUCUGUCUGCACUUACGAUAUCAGGUAAGAAUGUUUUAUGUGUCGGCGCUACAAUGAUAGUAUAAAGUAUAUACUCCUGAUUGUCCAUAAUAUAAGGUUAAUAUUGGAUGAAAAGUGAUGAGGGUACCAUCAAUGUACAAGCGGAUGUGCAAAAUGUUCCCAUAUCCCCUCCCGGUGAUAUCACUAAUGGGCAUCAACCAACCUCGUUGUACCUUGACGAGAAAAAGGAGCAGAUAAAGGCUCGGAGGCGAGCUACUUAUCGAAAGAAAAAAGAGGAGGCAGCCGUCAAGCAACAAAAUGAAAAUCUCCCUACCCUGACGAUAUCAGGGAAGUUGGAGAUAAACCCGUGUCCGUGACGUCUAUGUAUGUGUGUCCGUGUAGUAUACGAGUGCAUGUCAUAGUCGGUUUGGGUUGACUCUAGGUAUGAACUAUGGGUGCAGACGUUGGACCCAAACAGCUACAACAACAGAGAUAGAUGGGUAUCAAUCACUUCAAUUUGUUGACGAGUUAUAAGACGGCUACACACUAUGUUUUAUUUCUGGUUAACACCAAUUAGUUGAUUGCGUUAAUUACCUAUAUUUUUA